GCUGCAAAACUAAGACCAGAUGAUGGAGCAGUGCUGCUGCAUCCAAGCUGAGUACGUCAGCCCCGGGAAUGAGAGCUCCUGGCGACAGCUCCAGCGCUGCAAACCCACACCAGUGACCCUGCUCCGAAGAGAAAGCCAGGCAAAGACAGAAACAGGAAAUGGGGGACAGGAGGGCAUCCAGUUUUUGGUUACCAUAUCUAAAUCCAUUCUGGUCUGAUAGUGAAUGAAGUCUGUUCCUGAUGGAGUUGCUUCAGAUUUUUUUCUGAAAAAUCCUUCAUACCUUUUUUUUUUUUUUCUUUAAGCAAAAUAUGAAGCAGGCAGCUGAAAAGAACAUCAUGGAACAGAAGGGAUCCACGCUGGUCACAAACAGGCAGCCUUAUGCAUCAGCACCAGCGCUGCAGUGGCACAAAGCAAGAUCCGUUUCUGAGAAAUGGCUGGAAGCCCUGCUGAUUCUGGACCCGGGCAUCCUGGUGCAGCCCUGCUCAUCCUCACACUCAUGGUGGACCUUUUGAGCCUGAAUGGACCCAGGUAGCUCUCCUGAUUCUUAUAACGGAUCGGUUUCAAACCAUGGUAGUGGAAGUUUCUGCUCACUGCUCAACCUCUUGCUUGUUUAAUCAAUGAGUGGUAGUUAUAUGCUGUGCAGGGGAAAGAGCUGUGAUUAACAUAGCACGUGCUUUGUCCUGCAGUGAUACAGACUUGCAGUAAUGCCACUUCAGCAAUUAAGAGCAAUCAAGUCAUAACAUGCAGCCAGGGAGAGCUGAGCAUGGAAGCACUGUCUAAGCCUCUAGAAGCUGUCACCCUGCUAUGCUGUGAUGAAAAUAAUUGGAUAUAGCUCCCACUUCUGUUAUUCCCAUAUGAUAUUGCUGCUGGUGAAGAGUACUCAAAACUCACGGCUCCAAAGUCAACUUUAAAACUUCAAAAGCCAAGUGUUCUCACGUGCUGGGCUGCUUGCUUCUCCAAGGAAAUCUGCAGAGAGCGGCACCAUACAUCAAAGAGCAGACAGACAUAAGAAAAGACCAUUCCCACAAAGAAUGAUAUACAGAAAGAAGGUACAUUCAAGCAUCUAAAUAGCAAGGAACUGAGUACUCAAAUAAAUCUGGAGGAAGGAAAGUCUGUAUACAAAUAAAGAGAUAGAAAAUGAAAUGACAAAUUCCAUGAAGAAAACCUUCUAAUAAUUUUGAAUAAUGAACCACCUGCCCUUAUGAUUUUUAUUUGUCACUAGAUGCAGGAAUUUACAAUAGUCCCGUGGGCUUGGAUAAUGUGUAAACAUGCUGUUGUGCUACAGCUCAGUAACAUUUCUACUCUGUGAUAAACAGAUGCUUCAACAAGAUGCUUCACAUGAUACUGAUUGUUCUGAGCUGGUGAGAACUGGGAGUAGGGAAAUUGCUAAGAACCCUAUCUACUACAUGCUUCCACUUUUGCAGGCAAGAAACCUUCAGAGAAUUUCAACAUUUCAACAGGGAAAAAUAAACCAGAUGUUUUCAUGGGUUACAAGGUGACAACAGGAACCUUGGAUGUCACGUGUUGAGAGCAUAUGGAUACCACAUUCAGGUUCUUAACCAAAAU